rnacentral:rRNA from 1 species
UUAUGGCUCAGGAUAAACGCUGGCGGCGUGCUUAACACAUGCAAGUCGAACGGAGUGGUUCUCCCGAGGAUUGAUGGUGCUUGCACCUGAUUGACUCAUUGAAUCACUUAGUGGCGGACGGGUGAGUAACGCGUGGGAAACCUGCCCUAUACUGGGGGAUAGCAGUUGGAAACGACUGAUAAUACCGCAUAAGCGCACAGGACCGCAUGGUCUGGUGUGAAAAACUCCGGUGGUAUAGGAUGGUCCCGCGUCUGAUUAGCUAGUUGGUGAGGUAACGGCCCACCAAGGCGACGAUCAGUAGCCGGCCUGAGAGGGUGUACGGCCACAUUGGGACUGAGACACGGCCCAAACUCCUACGGGAGGCAGCAGUGGGGAAUAUUGGACAAUGGGGGAAACCCUGAUCCAAGCGACGCCGCGUGAACGAUGAAGUAUUUCGGUAUGUAAAGUUCUAUCAGCAGGGAAGAUAAUGACGGUACCUGACUAAGAAGCACCGGCUAAAUACGUGCCAGCCGCCGC